rnacentral:rRNA from 1 species
CAAGCGGUGGAUGAUGUGGAUUAAUUCGAUGCAACGCGAAAAACCUUACCUACCCUUGACAUGUACGGAAGGCCGAAGAGAUUUGGCUGUGCUCGAAAGAGAACCGUAACACAGGUGCUGCAUGGCUGUCGUCAGCUCGUGUCGUGAGAUGUUGGGUUAAGUCCCGCAACGAGCGCAACCCUUGUCAUUAGUUGCUACAUUUAGUUGAGCACUCUAAUGAGACUGCCGGUGACAAACCGGAGGAAGGUGGGGAUGACGUCAAGUCCUCAUGGCCCUUAUGGGUAGGGCUUCACACGUCAUACAAUGGUACAUACAGAGGGCCGCCAACCCGCGAGGGGGAGCUAAUCCCAGAAAGUGUAUCGUAGUCCGGAUCGCAGUCUGCAACUCGACUGCGUGAAGUUGGAAUCGCUAGUAAUCGCGGAUCAGCAUGUCGCGGUGAAUACGUUCCCGGGUCUUGUACACACC